rnacentral:lncRNA from 1 species
CACAGACUGUCAUCUGGAAGAGGCUAAGUGGAACCCUGGAGCUGUCAUUAUCUCUGCUGACCCGGACUAAAUCCAGGCUCACUUGAGCUGGUAACAUCUUUGACAUUCUCAAGCCCUGGAAAUGACAACUUCCUUCCUUCAGCAAUGGGCAGAGGCAAGAAUCAGAACCAGUGCGUCUUGGCUAGAAAAGUUUGGAUAAAUGCCAUAGGAGACCACUUUCUUCUUUCCAGUUCAAGAGCAGGGGUAUGACUCAUUUCCAGGCUCCCUGAUAGGAGGCAGAAUAGUCUGGAAGCUGAGCAAAACCUGCGUGGUGUCUCCUGGCCAGGGCUAGCACUCAGCUCUGCCCCUAGAAACCCCAGCACCAGUUCAGGGGCAUCGGUAGCAUUGAGAAACCCAAAUCCUGCCUGUCUCAUUCUCUUUGAGUCAUUGGCUCUGUUACCUCAGGGGCCUGAUGUUUAGCCAUGUGGACACACACCUGUUUUUGCAAGGCAGUGUGGUGAGGUGGAAAGAGAACCAACAUGGGGUCAGGUCAACAUGGCUUCCAGGUCCGCUUGAUAUGCUGCACUCCCUUCUCUCUGGGCCUGUUUCUUCACCUAUAGGUAGCAGUACAGGUUUUCAUCCUCUCUCCAUAUAUUUCCUGCAUCUGUACUCCUUGUAGUGAAGUUAGCAGAAAAUAUCCUGUGAUGAGGUCACUCAAAGUCAGGUAGGAGAAAGUAUAGUUUAGCAUUAUUAGGUACUGCAGACAUUCUAGCAAAGCUUAAUUUUUAUGGUGCAAACGGCCUGAUUUUGUUUUAUAUGUGUGUCUCCAAAGGCUCUUGCCUCUUGUACUAUGUUAAAUAUGUGUCCCUCAAAAUACAUAUCUACCUGGAACUUUAGAAUGUGAUUUUAUUUAGAAAGUAUUUGCAGAUGUAAUUAGUUAGAUGUAGUAUAAACUUAAGAUAGGUUUAUAUUAGAUUAGGGUGGACACUAAAUCUAAUGACUGGUUUCCUUAUAAGUAGAGGAGAGGGGACAUACAAACGCACACACAGACACACACACACAGACACACACAGGCACACAUACACACACACACACACACACUCACAGAGGGAAGAUGUUAUGUGAAGACCAAGGCAGAGAUGGGAGUGAUGUAGCUAUAAGCCAAGAAACACCAAGGAUUGCCAGGAGCCACCGGAAGCUAGGGAGAGGCAAGGGAGGAUGCUUCCCUAGAACCUUCAGAGGGUGCAUAGCCCUGCUGACAUUUUGAUUUCAGACAUCUAGGCUUCUGAGUUGUGACAGAAUACAUUUCUAUUGUUUUAAGUCACCCAGUUUGUGGUAAUCUGUUAUGGCAGCCCUAGAAAACAAAUACACCGUUUCUCUUCUGCUCUCGUGAUCCAGAUACCAUAUCCUGCAAAAGAACCAGAUGUGUUUGAAAAUUAAGUGACACUUCGUAGUCACAAAGAUGAAGCAGAAAUUAUUUGGGGUUGGGAGGGGGCAUUGAGGAAAGGAGCUUAAAAAGACCAAGGGAAAAGAGUGGUGCAAAAAUUGAGUAUGUGCAAAGCGAGGGAGGUGGCCACAUGGAGUUCUCGGAGCUGGUAGGACCAUGGCCUCAUACCCAAGAACAGAGUUGGGGGCAUAGCUUGAAGAUGUUAUGGAGGCACAUACAGACUCCUGGAAUCCUGUAAGCUCUCUAUGAGUUAUUAUUCCACUGAUUAAGCCCUAAGGAUAAGACCACAUUCAAUAGUUUCCAGAUUUCACUCUCUCUCUCUCUAUCUCUCUCUGUCUAUCUCCAUACUAGCAAACAAUAAAAUGGCUUUGUUGCAGAAAAUGUUACCCAUUCCUUCCCCCAUGGAGGGUUUUGUGCUGAGGCUACAUGUGAAGUGAGGUGGGGGAUGUUAAACACAGUUUGGAGGAUGAAGCCUGCUUCCUCCUUUGGGCUGUCACUGGAGAAUCCACAUUGGUGGCUAGCAUGGUUUGGCUCUGUGUCCUCACCCAAAUCUCAUGUGGAAUUGUAAUCCCUAUGUGUUGAGGGAGGGGCUGGGUGGGAGGUAAUUGAAUCACGAGGGCAGACUUCCCCCUUGCUGUCUUCAUGAUAGUGAGUGAGUUCUCAUGAGAUCUGGCUGUUUGAAAGGGUGUAGCACUUCCCCCUGUGCUCUCUCUCUCUCCUGCUCUGCCAUAGUAAGGCAUGCUUGCUUCCCCUUUGCCUUCCGCCAUGGUUGUAAGUUUCUGGAGGCUUCCCAGUCUUGCUUCCUGUUAAGUCUG